CAGCCGCCGCGGUAAUACGUAGGUGGCAAGCGUUGUCCGGAAUUAUUGGGCGUAAAGGGCUCGCAGGCGGUUUCUUAAGUCUGAUGUGAAAGCCCCCGGCUCAACCGGGGAGGGUCAUUGGAAACUGGGAAACUUGAGUGCAGAAGAGGAAAGUGGAAUUCCAUGUGUAGCGGUGAAAUGCGCAGAGAUAUGGAGGAACACCAGUGGCGAAGGCGACUUUCUGGUCUGUAACUGACGCUGAUGUGCGAAAGCGUGGGGAUCAAACAGGAUUAGAUACCCGGGUAGUCCCUGUCUCUUAUAA
rnacentral:rRNA from 1 species